ensembl:lncRNA
GGAUUUUCACAUUAAUUGAACUUCAGUGAGAGCAUUAUUGGAAUCCAAGAACCAUCAGAGGAUUUUAAAAAGCUUAUAUGUUAAAAACAAAAUCCAACUUUAAGGUUCUUCUUGGUGUGAGGUUUGCAGUAUUAUAUACUGCAUUAUAUAAUUUAGCUUCAUCAAAUUGCAUGUUUUUCAAAGAAACAACUGUGAUAAUCAUGUAUUUCUACUACUGCAGUGCAUAAAAUGGAGCUUUUGACUGCUUUUUGACUCAUACUUUCUCCAUUUUUACAGCUUGUACUGUAGCACAAAACCUUACAUCCUGUUGAUGAGACCAAAUCACUUUGUAUGGGGAAAAAACAGCAAACAGAUGUACAUUUCAUGAUGAAACACACUGAUUAAGAAUAAAAAAUCAGCUGUAGUUAUUCUCUAGCGGACCUCCAUGGUAGUUCCCAGUGUGGCUAGCAGCACAUUUGUGAUAAAAAUAAAAACCCUCCAUGCUUGGGGCAGCAUUUCUCCAAGUCAGGACAGAGCUUAAUCCCAUUAUGAAACAUAUACAUUGAUAAUGUCCAUCAUGUGUUUGGGAGUUUGUACAAGAGAUGACUUUGCCAUACCUCCAUAUAGAAAUUGGAUGUAUUGUUUGCCUUCAUCUGGUUCAAACACGGCUCCGAAAGAGGACAAGUGUGUUUUUACUGAUGUACAAUAAAUGUCCUGCUGUUAGACAGGCAAUCCAAACUACACUGAUUAACAGGACUUUGUUUUCCCAGUUAAUAGAUCAGUGAAAGUGGCAGAAAUGACAGCACAGCCACUUUAUAGAUUGAUACAAUGUUCACAAGAGUUUUGUUCCAAAGUGAAGAUAUUAAAAAAACAUUAUCUCUGCAAAUAAUGUCUGUCAUGAAAAUGUUAAAUGAAUCAAUCAUAUUUGUCUGAUUUUAUUAAUCAAUUUUCACGCGCUGUUAUUCACAUUAAUGCUUCAUUUUGGAAUGAAACUGUGCAUUCAUAAGCUUUGUCAGUGUACUAUAGACUCUGUAAUGAUUUAUUUUCUUGUAGGUAAUUGGACCAGCAAUGUUCAUUUAUCACUGACGUUGACUAAUGUUCGAUUUCUCUCAGCCAAAGCCACUUCUUCCAUUAAGAACCUAAUGUAUUGUUUCUUCUCAUUAAGUAUUUGUGCUUUGAACAGUUGGACGCUGAAUGACAUUUUUUUAAUGACUGAUAAUUUUUUGAAAAUGAAUGCAUUGCUUUCAGUUGAUUUAUUUAAUUUUCAUAUCACUGAUUGUAUAGUUACAGUAGGAGCUGUAGGGAGACCAAACUAAACCUGAAUUGUGAAGUUAUUAUGGAAAGCCAGUAUAUUAUAGGAGCAAAAGCUGUUCAGUUAGCAGGUGUUAAAUGUAUAAAUGUCCUCAAAGGCAAUUUGCUGAAAUGCAUUAUGUAAAAUGAUCAAAAUAAAUAUGGACACACGCAGAUUUUCU